rnacentral:rRNA from 1 species
UACAGAGGGUGCGAGCGUUAAUCGGAAUUACUGGGCGUAAAGCGUGCGUAGACGGUUUGUUAAGUCCGCUGUGAAAGCCCUGGGCUCAACCUGGGAAUUGCAGUGGAUACUGGCAAGCUAGAGUGCGGUAGAGGAUGGUGGAAUUCCCGGUGUAGCGGUGAAAUGCGUAGAGAUCGGGAGGAACACCCGUGGCGAAGGCGGCCAUCUGGACCAGCACUGACGCUGAGGCACGAAAGCGUGGGGAGCAAACAGG